rnacentral:rRNA from 1 species
AUUGAACGCUGGCGGCAGGCCUAACACAUGCAAGUCGAGCGAGCGGCGGACGGGGGAGUAAUGUAUGGGGACUGCCCGAUAGAGGGGGAUAACUCCUGGAAACGGUAGCUAUUACCCCAUACUAUCGGAUAACCCAUAUGGGGUUAGCUAGUGGAUGGGGUAAUGGCUCACCUAGACGACGAGCGCUAGCUGGUCUGAGAGGAUGAUCAGCCACACUGGGACUGAGACACGGCCCAGACUCCUACGGAGGCAGCAGUGGGGAAGAUUGCACAAUGGGCGCAAGCCUGAUGCAGCCAUGCCGCGUGUAUGAAGAAGGCCCUAGGGUUGUAAAGUACUUUCAGUCGGGAGGCGUUACCGACAGAAGAAGCACCGGCUAACUCCGUGCCAGCAGCCGCGGUAAUAC